AGGAGCUUAUCAAAUGAUGUAAGGAAGACGGAUACCACAUUUCUUAUUCAGUCCAUCCUAAGUGACGUAGAAGGAACAUCACGCUUAGAAGAGACAGAUUCAUCCUCAUUUUCGUGGAGACGUUUUCUCGUAGCAACUGGCAUUUUUGAUGUUUGUGGUGGAUUCAUAGUGGCACUUGUCUGAGCAAGUAGUUGUUGAAAUGUAUUUUUCAUAUCCUCAUCCUGAAGCCAGGGAUGCUCUAAGGCUUCCUCUAUUGUAAAACGUUUGCUUGGAUCCACUACCAACAGCUUCUUCACAAGAUCCAGAGCCAUGUUGGAUACGUGUUUCCAUUCUUUUGAAAUGAAUGUGUAUUCUCCACGAGUGAUUUGGUCUUUCAGAGAUAGUUGAGUAUUUUGCUCAUUAAAUGGUGGAUAUCCACACAAGCUACAUAAAAGAAGAAAAUAAAUUAAACAACAUAGGUUUUGUCACACAGUGUCAUUUACAUGUAUACAUUU
rnacentral:lncRNA from 1 species